AAAAAGUCCAUAUUUUGUAACGCGUCCUUGGUUCCGUUAUCACUGCAUAGGGCAGCAUAGUUCAAGUGUUACGGGAUUAAAUAUUCAAAUGAUGAGCUGUCUGAAAAUCUUGGAAGCAAGCAAUCCAGCGAUCCAGCCGUUCAUUCGUUUCUGGUUUGUGGAUGCUGAGGACUGUCGCUAGGUGGCGAGUGCCUAUCCGUCAGUGACAAUUUGUGCCAUUUCUUUCCGAAACGCUGUGCGAGUGAGAUAAUGAAUGCAAAUCGUAAUGGUUUACUGCGAAUUAAAUAGUUAUUUGUAUGGCGACAUAGCGUACAAUUUCUACUUGGCAAUUUCAUCUGCUAAUGGUGUGGCAUUGAGCAGCUGUACAUUUUGCCAAAAUGUCUCUUUUUCCUGUACCUGGAGUGCACGUUUCGUCAACUUCAGAACAAUUAAAGUUGUUUAACUUUAUAAAGCUAAUUUUCAGUUGUAUCUACAUUGAAAAAGCUUGAAAACUCCUGGUAAUUGGUAAAGUCUUCAGAGCUCCUUCGUUGUUGCACAACAUGCACAUAGAUUUGAUGUAGCCAAAUGGUUAAAGGUAUUCAUCUUGCUACUUGUCCUGCUGUGUGUUUCUUUACAUAAAGAAGUUUCAUUUACCUUUGCUGUGAACUUCAAUAAGAUGUGCACUAAUUGAAGGCCAGUUGUUCCCGUAGUUGAUGUCCGCCGUGGGACGUUGUUGCAGCCUAUGCUGGUGAGGUGAAAGAUCUUUUUACAUCUCAUGUUAAACUGCAGGCUGUUCCUUGGUGCUGGUGUCGUGUUACCGAAGUUGCAUCAUUGUUUUGUUUAAUUGUCAUUGGGUCUGCAGUUUAUCGUUUACAUGUUAUGAGGGAACAAGCCCAUCAUGCUGUCAAUCCUAAAACUCAUGUUUGACGCACACACAUCCUGGAAUACAAAUGUUCUGAGAUAAGGAUCUUUUCCGAAUCUCACAAUUUUGGUGGUGUACCCUGCAACAGCAUGUUUGUUGUUAUGGCUGUUUUUACUUCUGUUUAGAAGGCAACCCAGCUAAGAAAUAGAGCACGCAGUUCCUUUAUGGAUACGUGUGUUCCUGGCACGGAGAUUCUUGUGCCAAUGCUGACCUUUGUUCAUGACGGAAGAGGGAUUUCCACCAAUGUCUUCUCCAUCCUUAUCUUCGCGACGUCCGCUCAUCUAGCUUCACUGCUUUGUAUGAACUGCUACACAACUUGUCUUUCUUCAUUGACGAGUUGGAUCCCUUCAGUGUCGCUUCCGCCCGCUGUGACACACCUGUAAUCAUUCACUACGGGAUUAUGCCCAGGUAAUGCAGAGGAAACGUCGAGAAGGUGGACACCAAAACGUCGUCGGUAUCUCCAAAAUGUCGGCGCACAUCAUCAUUUGUUGUUGGUAAUAUGUUUGUGAGUGUUAGUUAACCCGUUGUCUGCCACGCCUUUGUUCUCCCCUAGCUCCUUAGCACGGGCUGCGUGCGCUGUUCGGCCUCGUGGUUUUCAUGCCGCGGGGUCAGAAAGUCGCACCAGUCCAAAAUCUGCCGCAAGGCGCCUAUUAGGCAAUGCACCAUAGUUCCCCCUUUUCAGUUCAGCACGGACUUGUCAGCAAUGGCAAGUCCCACCUUGGUCAUAGAUCCUUCAGACGUGGCGCGUAGAGUAGUAGAGAGCAACCUACGGGUUGUAUGGCGUGGCAGCCAACGGGUUAACUUAAGUGUACGUAUGUACAUGUGUAUCAAUGUAUAUGUUUGUUUGUGAUUGUAAAAUAUGGUGGAGUUGUGGGUGAAGGUGGGACAUUAGAACAAUUCCUUUUCUAAGUUUUGUGUUUGCUGUGACAUAUAGCCAAGUGAUAUACUUUGCAACUUUUUGUUAUGCCAACUUAAGUAAAAAU